UACGGAGGGUGCAAACGUUGCUCGGAAUCAUUGGGCGUAAAGCGCACGUAGGCGGCCUGUUAAGUCGGGUGUGAAAGCCCGGGGCUCAACUCCGGAAUUGCCUUUAAGACUGCAUCGCUAGAAUUUGGAGAGGUAAGUGGAAUUCCGAGUGUAGAGGUGAAAUUCGUAGAUAUUCGGAAGAACACCAGUGGCGAAGGCGACUUACUGGACACAUAUUGACGCUGAGGUGCGAAAGCGUGGGGAGCAAACAGG
rnacentral:rRNA from 1 species